AUCAACAUUUUAUGUUUGGCAGGUUGGCAGACACAAAACAUCACAUGAACCCACCCACAUUUUUUUCUACUUGAAUCGGAUGGUCAUGGCCCUUCCUAAUCUCGGCUCCUUCUCCAACCCAACUGCCACCGCUUCUGCCGCCGCAACGCCGUCCGCCUCCAACCCGUUGUCUCCUUCCGAUGACCCGUCUAAGAAAAUUCGAAAACCCUACACUAUUACCAAGUCGCGAGAAAGCUGGACCGAACCCGAGCACGAUAAGUUCCUCGAAGCUCUUCAGCUCUUUGACCGUGACUGGAAAAAAAUUGAAGCAUUUGUCGGAUCAAAAACUGUUAUUCAGAUACGUAGCCAUGCUCAGAAAUAUUUUCUGAAAGUCCAGAAAAGUGGAACCAAUGAACAUCUUCCUCCUCCUCGGCCAAAAAGAAAAGCUGCUCAUCCCUACCCACAGAAAGCCACAAAAAGUGCAGCUCCAGCUGUCUCACCGGUGCCUACAUCUUUUCAAGCUUCCCUUCCAUUACCGGAACCUGGAAUUGUAAAAAGGCCUGAUUCUUCUUUGUUACCUAGCAAUCCAGCCACUGUUGUGUCUGUGCCGUCAUGGACUGACAACUCUGCGCCACCAGUUAGUUUGUCACAAAUGAAGAAAGAUAAUGUGAGAGAAACAGGUCAGCCAGUCACCAAUAACCGUUGCUGCAGUAGUAAUGGAAGCACUCCAAGAUCAAAAUCAACAGUUAAGGUGAUGGAGAGGACUCAAGUACCCUCACUGAGAGUUCUGCCAGACUUUGCUCAAGUAUACAAUUUCAUCGGCAGUGUAUUUGACCCUGCUGUAACUGGACACUUGCAGAAAUUGAAAAAAAUGGACCGGAUUGAUGUCGAGACGGUGUUGUUGCUGAUGAGAAAUCUCUCUAUCAACCUUACGAGCCCUGAUUUUGAGCAUCAUCAUUUUGGUGACAUGGCCGAGUGGUAAGGCAGAGGACUGCAGUUCUUCUGCUUUUACCUCUUGGUGCUGACCCAGGAGGGCGAAGAGAGCACGAAUGUGGAGGUUAGAUAGUUGGGAGGCUGGAGAGCGGAGAGGCAGCUUCUUUCAUCGUAUGAUAUAGAAAUGGAGAAGCAGUGCAAAUAAAAUCAAUGAUAACCAACUUUAAAGUGAUGCUCAGUUCGGGUAUUGCAUACAAUAGUCUUUGCACACCGUUCCUAUUGUUCUUUGCUCGAGAGUAUUAUUGUCCCGGUGAAAGCCAUAUCCGAACUGCUCGGGAACAAAUGGCAAUCGCAGGACGCACAUAUACUAAUACCAGAAGCCUGUGGUUUGUUUGAUAGCAGCUGCUAUGUCAGAUUCAGAGUUCUUUUUGCUUGUGGAGUUCAUAUUUGUGUACAUACUGUAAGAUAUGAAGAGAGAUAAUAGUUGUGAUGCAGGAACUUAAAUAUAUAAAGCUGGGUUUUAUGUAAAUUCAAGUUUUGACAGACUCCAGCCUCUACAGUGUUGGUAAUUUUUUCAUGGCAAAUGCAAAUGACGAUCCUUGAUUUUCA